UUACUUACCUUUCUGGUGUAGGGUCAAGAUGGGUUGAUUUGGAGAUGGAUUUGAAUGAUAAGUCUAAAGUAGAGAAUGAUGACUUUAUUGAUAUGGUUUUAAUGAUCACCAAAUGGCCAAGCUAAAAAAGAGCAAGGCAUUCACACUGGAAAGGGAGAGGGAGAUCAGACAGGUUGUGGAAUCAGUGAAUGAGCUUGCUCAAAUUAUGAAGGAUCUCUCAGUCCUUGUGAUAGACCAGUGCACAGCUUGCCUUACCAAUGCCGGAAGAGAAGGGUCUAGUAAUUUCAACUGCACCCAUAGUAGCUGAUCAAACGCCACAUGUGCGUACCAAUCCAGUUCUACUACCUCCACCAGUGCCAAGCCCAGUAUCAGGAGCAACCUCUGAAACCUAUGAUUGUGAACCCAUUAUUGAAGUACCGGCAACACCAGAACAUGAAUGUAAAGAAAUAACAGAAAGUGAUAUUGAGGAUGCUUUUUCUGAGGAUCCUGAUGAAAUUCAAGUUAUCAAACUCAAUAUUGAAGAGUUCAAGCUCAACUUGCAGAAAUACAUAGAAGAGAAUUGAAUAAGGGAAUGCAUUUUAGUAGCUAUAAUGAUAUAAGUUUGUGGACUGAAGUGGUCUUACGAUAACUGCGAGCUAGCAUAUGGAGGAAAUGAUAGUGAAGCGAGUGAUUAAUUCUUUUUGUUUGGAAUCAACAUUCCACACAGCCUGUGCUUAAAUUCUGCGAGCACACUGCAGCAGUAAAAGCAAUUCCAUGGUCCCCACAUCUCCAUGGAUAAACAGUAGUAAUUGUGUUGAUAUUAUGUGCUUUAAACGAGGGCUUUUACUACUGUCAUACACCACCCCUUCAUUGCCGGCUAGCAUCAUGUAUUUUUCUCUCCUUGUUCAACCAAUAUGUUAAGUGGAUUUGCAUUGGAAGAUGUGCUUCAUUAUUAGAGAAUUUGAUUAUUUUUUUAAGUUAUUGUACU